rnacentral:rRNA from 1 species
UACGUAGGGGGCAAGCGUUGUCCGGAAUUAUUGGGCGUAAAGCGCGCGCAGGCGGUCUUUUAAGUCUGAUGUGAAAGCCCACGGCUUAACCGUGGAGGGUCAUUGGAAACUGAAGGACUUGAGUACAGAAGAGGAGAGUGGAAUUCCACGUGUAGCGGUGAAAUGCGUAGAGAUGUGGAGGAACACCAGUGGCGAAGGCGACUUUCUGGCAACCAUCAGACGCUGAGGUACGAAAGCGUGGGUAGCAAACAGG